rnacentral:piRNA from 1 species
ACAGUUGUGCUCUGCUGGGUUUUUGC